rnacentral:misc_RNA from 1 species
GAACUGCGAAACGUAAUGUGACCUGCACUCUUCGUGAAUCAUCCAAUCUUUGAACGCACUUUGCACCUCGUGGCUCCUGUCACGAGGUAUACUUGUUUGAGUAUCCGUAACCAUCUCACCGCUCCCUCGGGGCGGUGGACUAUGGGAUUCGAAGCGCAACCGCGAGUCGUCUCCUAAAAACUAUGGCCCGCUGUGGAAGGUCUCCGCAGAGACUUGACCGACCAUUUGGAUAACGUCCUACAAUUGUCGUGUCUUGUCAACUACUCCGUUGAUCAACCUAGGCCACAAGGAUCAAAUGGGCACCAGCACUUGGUGUCUGUGAGAUCAACUAUAUACUAACGGGAUCUCAAAUCAAGUAAGGAUACCCGCUGAACUUAA